CGCUGAACACCUUCUAAUUUAGCAAUAUCCUUUGCAUGGUGGGGAGACCAAAACUGUACCGCAUAUUCCAAGUGGGGUCUGACUAAACUGUUGUAGAGCGGGAGUAUUACAUCUUUAUUCUUAAAUAAAAAGUUUCUUUUAAUGAAGCCCAACAUUCUGUUCGCUUUAUUUGCUGCAUCGAUGCAUUGCUGUGAGAAUUUGAGGUUUGACGCGAUUUUGAGAGAGAGAGAGAGAGAGAGAGAGAGAGAGAGAGAGAGAGAGAGAGAGAGAGAGAGAGAAUCCCUAAGUCUCCUGAUAAAAUGACGAGGAGACUAUUCAGAGCAACAAAGGAAGACAGAUAAAGAAAGAAAGGAAGAAAGGAAGACAAAUGGAGACAAACAGACAUAAGAGGAUAGACAGACAGACGCACAAAAACACUCGACCCGCGACCUAUUCACACACACACACACACACACUCGUAGUACGUAUAAAAGAGCAAUCUGUUUAACUCUCUCUCUCUCUCUCUCUCCAUCAGUGCAGGUAAACAUGGGUGACAGACAGGUGUGAACGAUGACCCUGACCCACUAAUUACAGGUGUGUGUGUGUGUGUGUGUGUGUGUGUGUGUGUGGUGUUCUAAUGUGUGAAAGGUAGAGAGAGGUAGGGAAGGAGGAGGAGGAGGAGGCUAAAGGUGGAGCGUAACGAAGGGAUACUGACUGAGGAAGGGAGAGAGCGUGUGAGAUUGAGGAAGGGAGAGAAAGUGAUGCAUAGGAAGUGAAAUAAUGAGAGAAAGUGAGGCUGAGGAAGAUAGUGCUUGAGGGAGGGUAAAGAUUUGGGGCUGUUAUGAAGGUAAAGUAUAAGGAAGGUAAAGUAUGAGGAAGGUAAAGAAUAAGGAAGAUAAGAGAUGAGGAAGUAUGGUUAGGGGAUAUGAGGAGGGAAGGUUUUGAGUAAGGGAGUUUCAAGGGUGUGAGGAAGGGAGAUUUUGAGUAAGGGAGUUUGAAGGCUGUGAGAAAGGAAGGUUUUGAGUAAGGGAGUUUGAUGGCUGUGAGAAAGGAAGGUUUUGAGUAAGGGAGUUUGAAGGCUGUGAGAAAGGAAGGUUUUGAGUAAGGGAGUUUGAAGGCUGUGAGAAAGGAAGGUUUUGAGUAAGGGAGUUUGAAGGCUGUGAGAAAGGAAGGUUUUGAGUAAGGGAGUUUGAAGGCUGUGAGAAAGGAAGGUUUUGAGUAAGGGAGUUUGAAGGCUGUGAGGAAGGGAAGUUUUGAGUAAGGGAGUUUGAUGGCUGUGAGAAAGGAAGGUUUUGAGUAAGGGAGUUUCAAAGAUGUGAGGAAGGGAGGUUUUGAGUAAGGGAGUUUGAAGGCUGUGAGAAAGGAAGGUUUUGAGUAAGGGAGUUUGAAGGCUGUGAGAAAGGAAGGUUUUGAGUAAGGGAGUUUGAAGGCUGUGAGAAAGGAAGGUUUUGAGUAAGGGAGUUUGAAGGCUGUGAGAAAGGAAGGUUUUGAGUAAGGGAGUUUGAAGGCUGUGAGAAAGGAAGGUUUUGAGUAAGGGAGUUUGAAGGCUGUGAGAAAGGAAGGUUUUGAGUAAGGGAGUUUGAAGGCUGUGAGAAAGGAAGGUUUUGAGUAAGGGAGUUUGAAGGCUGUGAGAAAGGAAGGUUUUGAGUAAGGGAGUUUGAAGGCUGUGAGAAAGGAAGGUUUUGAGUAAGGGAGUUUGAUGGCUGUGAGAAAGGAAGGUUUUGAGUAAGGGAGUUUGAAGGCUGUGAGAAAGGAAGGUUUUGAGUAAGGGAGUUUGAAGGCUGUGAGAAAGGAAGGUUUUGAGUAAGGGAGUUUGAUGGCUGUGAGAAAGGAAGGUUUUGAGUAAGGGAGUUUGAAGGCUGUGAGAAAGGAAGGUUUUGAGUAAGGGAGUUUGAAGGCUGUGAGGAAGGGAAGUUUUGAGUAAGGGAGUUUGAUGGCUGUGAGAAAGGAAGGUUUUGAGUAAGGGAGUUUCAAGGCUGUGAGAAAGGAAGGUUUUGAGUAAGGGAGUUUGAUGGCUGUGAGAAAGGAAGGUUUUGAGUAAGGGAGUUUCAAG